rnacentral:SRP_RNA from 1 species
GCUGGGCACAGUGGCAUGUGCCUGUAAUCUCAGCUACUAGAGAGGCUGAGGUGGGAGGAUCGCUUGGGCCCAGUUCUGGCCUGUAGUGCACUAUGCCGAUCAGGUGUCCUCACUAAGUUUGGCAUCAAUAUGGUGACCUCCCAGGAGCGGGGGACCACCAGGUUGCCUAAGGAGGGGUGAACCAGCCCAGGUUGGAAAUGAAGCAGGUUAAAAUUCCCGUGCUGAACAGUAGUGGGAUCGUGCCUGUGAACAGCCACUGCACUCCAGCCUAGGCAACAUAGCAAGACCCUGUCUCU